rnacentral:rRNA from 1 species
UACGAAGGGGGCUAGCGUUGCUCGGAAUCACUGGGCGUAAAGGGUGCGUAGGCGGGGCUUUAAGUCAGGGGUGAAAUCCUGGAGCUCAACUCCAGAACUGCCUUUGAUACUGAAGAUCUUGAGUUCGGGAGAGGUGAGUGGAACUGCGAGUGUAGAGGUGAAAUUCGUAGAUAUUCGCAAGAACACCAGUGGCGAAGGCGGCUCACUGGCCCGAUACUGACGCUGAGGCGCGAAAGCGUGGGGAGCAAACAGG